rnacentral:rRNA from 1 species
UACGUAGGGGGCAAGCGUUUGUCCGGAUUUAUUGGGCGUAAAGAGCGUGUAGGCGGCCAGACAGGUCAGCUGUGAAAACUCGAGGCUCAACCUCGAGACGUCGGUUGAAACCGUCUGGCUAGAGUCCGGAAGAGGAGAGUGGAAUUCCCGGUGUAGCGGUGAAAUGCGCAGAUAUCGGGAAGAACACCCGUGGCGAAGGCGGCUCUCUGGGACGGUACUGACGCUGAGACGCGAAAGCGUGGGGAGCGAACGAGG